UACGGAGGGUGCAAGCGUUAUCCGGAUUCACUGGGUUUAAAGGGUGCGUAGGUGGGCAGGUAAGUCAGUGGUGAAGUCUCCGGGCUUAACUCGGAAACUGCCGUUGAUACUAUCUGUCUUGAAUAUCGUGGAGGUUAGCGGAAUAUGUCAUGUAGCGGUGAAAUGCUUAGAUAUGACAUAGAACACCCAUUGCGAAGGCAGCUAACUACACGAUCAUUGACACUGAGGCACGAAAGCGUGGGGAGCAAACAGG
rnacentral:rRNA from 1 species